UUUAUACUCCAUCCGUCCGGAAAUACUUGUCAUCAAAAUAAAUAAAAGGGGAUGUAUCUAGAUGUAUUUUAGUUUUAUAUACAUUCCUUUUUGUCCAUUUUAAUGACAAGUAUUUUCAGACAGAGGGAGUAUCUA
rnacentral:pre_miRNA from 1 species